rnacentral:rRNA from 1 species
UGGGGAAUUUUCCGCAAUGGGCGAAAGCCUGACGGAGCAACGCCGCGUGAGGGACGAAGGCCUCUGGGCUGUAAACCUCUUUUCUCAAGGAAGAAGACCUCACGGUACUUGAGGAAUAAGCCACGGCUAAUUCCGUGCCAGCAGCCGCGGUACUACGGGAGUGGCAAGCGUUAUCCGGAAUUAUUGGGCGUAAAGCGUCCGCAGGCGGCCUUGUACGUCUGCUGUCAAAGAGUGGAGCUCAACUCCAUAGAGGCAGUGGAAACUGUAAGGCUUG